AGGUGCCUACGGGACGCAGCAGUAGGGAAUUUUCGUCAAUGGGCGCAAGCCUGAACGAGCAAUGCCGCGUGAGUGAGGAAGGACUUCGGAUCGUAAAGCUCUGUUGCAGGUCAGAAAAGAAGGGAAGAGGAAAUGCUUUUCUUUUGAUAGUAACCUGCCAGAAAGUCACGGCUAACUACGUGCCAGCAGCCGCGGUAAUACGUAGGUGGCAAGCGUAAUCCGGAAUGAUUGGGCGUAAAGGGUGCGCAGGCGGCGUGGCAAGUCUGAAGAGAAAGGUACGGG
rnacentral:rRNA from 1 species